GAAGCCUGAUGCAGCGACGCCGCGUGGGGGAUGACGGCCUUCGGGUUGUAAACCCCUUUCAGUAGGGAAGAAGCGAGAGUGACGGUACCUGCAGAAGAAGCGCCGGCUAACUACGUGCCAGCAGCCGCGGUAAUACGUAGGGCGCAAGCGUUGUCCGGAAUUAUUGGGCGUAAAGAGCUUGUAGGUGGCUUGUCGCGUCUGCCGUGAAAACCCGAGGCUCAACCUCGGGCGUGCGGUGGGUACGGGCAGGCUAGAGUGUGGUAGGGGAGACUGGAACUCCUGGUGUAGCGGUGAAAUGCGCAGAUAUCAGGAAGAACACCGAUGGCGAAGGCAGGUCUCUGGGCCAUUACUGACACUGAGAAGCGAAAGCAUGGGUAGCGAACAGGAUUAGAUACCCUGGUAGUCCAUGCCGUAAACGUUGGGCACUAGGUGUGGGGGA
rnacentral:rRNA from 1 species